UGGACUUUGGUCUAAGUUCUGUGAUACACUCUGACUGUGAAUCUGUGCUAGUCAGUGCAUAACAGAACUUUGUCCCGGGUCUG
rnacentral:pre_miRNA from 19 species